CUGCAGCCAAUUAAGCCGACCAGGUUCUUUCCUCAUAGGGGUUUGGUGUGCAAUGGUUGCAAACAGCAUCCUCCGUGGUAGUGUAUGCAGCCUGUUGAAUGUGCAGGUUGCCCAAAGGGACCUUGGAGACAGUU